UUUGUUUGCUUCUUACUCAAGCAGUUCAUCAGACAAGCAACUUCACAGCACGGAGCCUCUCCUGGGGAAGGACAGCCACAAGAAGACAGGAGUCAAGCCUGAAGCACUAGAUACCUCAGUGAGUCACGCAGGCUCAAUCUCUCGGGUCAAACUGUGUCACCCAGGCUAGUCUUGAACUUAUGACCCCCUGUCUGUUUCACACGGUGGGAUCACCAGUAGAACCAAAGCAUUUUAGGGCAUUUCAAGUUCUCCUGACCCACGCCACUUACCGUUUGGCCUGAUGACAGUUUGUGGCAGUGCUCUUUGUCAACAUCAUCAUUUCCUGGCAAAUGGGCAGGAAACCCCUAUCUCCUACCACCAUCUGCCUGAUCCUGCUCUUGAUUACUUAAAUAAUGAUGUAAUCGAAAAACCCUGCCUGUUGUUCCUGUUUGAAACGUAUUCCUUACUUCUCGAGGAAGUAGCUGUGUCUGGUGGGAUCUGAAAAUAUGCCGCGGCUGUCUUCUCGGCCCACAGAACCACUCUAUCUCUUAUUCACUUUUAAUACUUUUUGCUAACCUACCAUUUUUUACCUGAUCCCCCAUCUUUAAUAAAUGCAAUGGACAGUUACAAAAU
rnacentral:lncRNA from 1 species